rnacentral:lncRNA from 1 species
GAAGGAGACAGGGAUGUGUCACAUCCUUCCAUUUCACACAUUCCAAGAGAGACACAGAGUAGGCACUGGACUCAUCUGCACCCACACCAGGCGGGCAGUCACUUUCCACCAGUGCGCCUCAGGGCAGCAAAUCUCUUAGAAAGGCCGGGGCUACUCCUAAAGAAGUGCAGCUCUGACUCCGCAGAGCCAUAUCUACCAUCCCUGCAGCAAAGAAAGGAAUGUGCCACCCAGAGGCAGGGCCUGUGGCACCAAGUAAGGCUGCGUGUCACCUGGACCACAUGGGCUGCCUCUGCUUCUGCCAGCUUCUUGCAGGGCGAGCAGCAGGGAGCUGCCUUCUCCUUGAGGCCACCAAGGCCUCCUUCAGAGGCAGGACCUGGUGCCCCCGCCCUUUUCUCGGUGCUGCUUAACAUGACAGCAGUGGGGGCAUGGCAAGCAUCUGUGCACUGCCCCCUGCCUGCCACCCCCCCCACCAGGCAGAGUGUUCCAUAAGGAUGGGCUCCCAGCCCACCAGCAUCCCCGUGGCACUAGCCUGGCACAGGGAAGGGCUCAGUCUCCUUCAUCUUGGUGGCCCUGUGACUCCACCUGGCUCCUGCUCCAAGUGGAUGACAUGUGUUUGCUGAACUAAUUCUGGAAGAAAUCGCUUCCUACUCAACCCUCUUCUGGAGGCCUGUCUCAGCCUGCUGAGCCCUCAUCCCAGCUUACAUCUAUCGAGAUGCCUGUGGUUCAGCUGACGUUGACAGGGUCCUCAGGGUGCCCCCCACCCCCUCAAUGAAGCAUGAGCUCUUCUACACCCGCCAGAGGUCACCGGGCAGAGGCCAAAGUUGCAGGGACCUUGCUGAAUGCUGGGCCCACCCCAGACCGCCCCGGGGCACCUCCCAGGGCAGAGCCAGGAACAGAGUGCAGCUCCGCAGCCUAGACACCGCGUCGGCUGUGGUGGGGGUGGGAAGAGGUCUGCAGAACAAAGCUGGAGUCAGGGCAGAGCAGGGAGCUGGGCCUCAUGCCAGUGAGGGGGCAGGGCAGAAAGCCUCCUUGUGGGGAGCUGGGGGAGCUCAGGAGGCUGGCUGUGCAGGGCAAUGGAGUGGAGACCCGUAGCUCACUGUCCAGGACAACAUGCUCUAAGAAAGCGUAUCGAAAUCCAUCCCCAGGACUUUAGGGAAAGAAGGCAGCCAAGGCAAACAGGCUCCAGGUCUCUAUCUGCAGUCCUGGCUCAGGCCCCGGCCAGGGCGGUGAGUGCCACGUCCCGGCUGGGUGUGAACGUGGGUGCGCGUGCAAGAAUGCAGGCUUCGCGCUGGCGGCCUUGGAGGGGGCAGACACCCUGCCCAGGAGGCCCUGCACAGAGCAGGCUUUAUUCCCUCUGGUCGUGCAGGAGGUGGUGCCCUGGCUGGGGGCUCUCGCCAGCGGUGGCCUCAAUAACACUUUGUGUCGUGUUCUCCUGCGCUCUGGUACGGGCCUGGUCCCAAGCUGCGUAGCCUCGCUGUGGGGCCAUGGUCAUAAAUGACUCUAAGGUUCAUUUCAUACCUGUUUUUUUUUUUUUUAAAUGAAACUGAAGAAGGGUGAAGAGAAGAGUUCAUGUAUUUUGCGACCAUCCAGAAGUAAUAAUAAUACUCAUUUACCAAGCACACCGGCCUAGACCUUUGGGUAUGCUAGGCCUUCUGUCUCUUCUUAUACCUGUUUUGUAGAUGGGCAAACUGGAAUUGGAUGAUGACAGUCACAUUUUAACAAAGCAACACCAGUAAAGGCUUCUUGUGCAUUUAGUGAGGGCGCCUAUGCACAGACAGGCCCCUCAGGGUGGAUGAAACCAGAGCUGGCUGAGCCGUGCCUGAAUCCUGUGGGCGGAGGAGCCCGGAAAAGCCAGGGAGCUGCCCCCCACUGAGGGGCAGCUUCUCAAAGGAGGGGACAAGGCCCCGGGUCUUGAGAACUGAAUCGGAGGCCGUCUGGGAAGAGGUCACCCUUCCUGCCAACAGUGUGAAGGACCCCAACCCUGACAGAGACCAGACCCUGGGAUCUGGAAUGUGUAUCCUGAGUGCAUUCUGCCACUGCCUCUUAGCCACCUUCCCUGAUGCUGUCUGGGAUGCAGGCAUUGCAUGCAGUUCACGUCGGAAGAUUCCACACUGCAAUCCAGAGACCAAAAGGAGCCCAUUGCGAUCUGGCUCUGGGGGACCCUGGGAUGAUAUCCCUACCCCCAGGGACAGGAACCAACCCCCGGGGACCUGGAGAGACUCUGUGCCCUGCAGGACCGAUGGGGGACUCCUCCCUGUAUGUACGUGUGCGUGGCCCUGCCUUGUUCUUGCCCCGGACCUGGCCUGGUGAAGGAGGCACGAGGAAGAUUGCAGUCAGGGACGCUCAGCCUGGGAGCUGACCCUCAGAUCCAGGGAUCCCAGCAGCCUUAGAAAGCUGAUGAUGCCAGGAGCGGGGACUUGCCUGGGGCUCAAGGGAACCAUUAUGCCUGUGCUGAGAUGAAACGUGUCCCACUAUUCCUGGAUGUGUACAGAACCCGACACCAUGGCUAUGAGUACCUACCACGAAGAAACAGUAACAAUAACUGGACUGUCAAUACUGGAUGUCUUGGGAGCUUAAGAGACACUGUUCUGAGUAUUUUACAUGUAUUUGUCAGUGGCUGUUCCCAUGCAGGAGGCCCUGGGACAUGCCUGCUACUGUUUCUUUCUGCUGGUCUGAAUAUUUUACAUGUAUUAUCUAAUUUAAUCCUCACAACAACUAUCAUACUUAUGGUAAUUAUAUUAUACCCAUUAUGCAGACGAGAAAGAAGGUAGUUGGGAUUCAUACUUGUGCGUCCCAACUUCAUAUUCUAACCUGCUGUGCCAUAAGCCUUGGUGAGGACCUGGCCGUGAUCACACUGAUGGUCUUGUUCAGGCCAACACACACACACACACACAUUAUAAAUACGUGUACGUUUUAUACAUAUAAAAACUGACUUCAUAUAGAUAACUGACUUUCUUUUACUGAGUACUCGUAUCUCCUCACUCCUCUAACCUGCGAUAAAACAAUCUGAAAGUUGUCAGAUCCGGCAAUGUUGUAAACACACAGGCUGCCUUACUCUGAACGUUCUCAUGGACCAAAGUUAAGGACACCGCUGGGCCAUGUUAUGAGGGGCUGUGGAAUUUUGAAUUCCUCUUUGGGGUUUUAUUUUGUAAGGAACCCAGAGAGCUGGAGCAGCAAGAAAGACUUGAGGCCCCUCCCAUACCUAGUGGGAGGUGGGUGGGGCCUCAGGCAAAGGUGGGGCCAGUGGCUGGUUCCCAGGUGGCCGGGUCUCUGGCCUCACUGUGCAGGAUCCAGGCCUGCUCCCCAGAAGUCUCCAGGUGACACCCCUGUAGAGAUCUGGAGCUGAGGACGCAGAGUGGCGACGUGUUCUCUGGGUGCUGCAUGGCAACAUUCUGUGGAUUUGGAUCCUGUGGAUUUGGAUCCUGGAUACAGCUUCAUUGCCAAUAUCAGCAUCAAACCCAGGAAGCGGCUGAUAUGGAAACUAGUACUCAGAGGCCUGAGGACCAAGCUGGUUUAGGGCAGAGCAUCAUGGCAGGUCUCACCCCUCGUGUGCUCCCCCAGCCUGGCCCUCGUAGGGGUCCCACCCCGAGGGGAGGCGUUCAGUUCAGCUACUUCAGAAGAUAUAUCCUGGCAAUGGGUAGCACAGAGGAGAGUAGGAGGAAAGAAGAAGCCAACACUACACUUGGUUUUGAUGAAAACCAAGCCUCAAAAGUGAGAAUUUGAAGGAAGAAAAGUUAAGUAAUAGCUCAUAAAGAGUCUGCACAAAUCCCCCGACAAGAGCACCCUGCUUGUAAGGAUAGGGGGCCUCACUCCCUCUCCCCUGCCUUCCAUGGGCCAAAUGCCAGGGCCAGAGCACAUGCUGUGGGGAGGCAGAGAAGUGUGCUGCCCAAUGCUCAAGGGCUGACAGCAUAACUGAGGGUCCGGGCAGGUGGGUAAGAGGUAACAAGUAGGGGAGUGUAAGGGCAGUAAAAGCCACAGGAGGAUGGUGGCAGAGCUCUCGGAGGGGCAGUAGGCUUCUCAGAGGCCCCUGGGCUGCAGCAGAGCAGGUGGCUGGGCAUCCUUGAUCACAUGAGAGGAGGUGGCAUGGGGUCAGAGGUCCUCAGCGAGGGGUCAGGGGUGACGAAGACUGAGGAGGACCCCUGUCUGCCCAGAAGACAAUGGGGUGACACCUUUAAAAAGACUGACAGAAAAAUGACCCAGAAUUCUACAUCGAAGAAAAUUAUCCAGCAAAAAAUUAGAGUGUUAAUAAAGACAUUUUCAUAUAAACAAAAGUCUUGUCUAAAAAAGAGAAUUUGUUUCCAUCAGACUUAGACUUUAAGACAUGCUACACGUAAUUCUUCAGGAUGAAAAGAGAUUAUACCAGAUGGAAAGAAGUGAAGAGCACCAGAAACAAUCAACAUUUUUCCCUUAAUUUCUUAAAAGACUAUUGAUUGUUUAAUUAUUCAAAGCAAAAGUAAUAACACUAUAUUAUGGGGUUCAUUACAUAUAUUGUAGUCCUCCCUUAUCUGCAGUUUCUUUUUCAUGGUUUCAAUUACUGGUCCAAAAAUAUCAAGAUAUUUAGAAAGAGAGAGAGAGAGACCACAUUUAUGUAACUUCUGUGACAGUAUAUCAUAAUUAUACUGUUUUGUUGUUAUUGUUGUUAAUUUCUAUGUGUUGUUAAUCACUUACUGGUUUACAAUUAAACUUCAUCAUAGGUAUGUAGAUAAAGGAAAAGGCAUAGUAUAUGUAGGGCUCAAUACUAUCGCAGUUUUAGGCAUCCACGGGGGUCUGGAAAUCCACCAGCUGUGGAUAAGGGGGACUACUGUAUAGAAGAAACGUGGAUGACAGCAAGAGUACAGAGGGUGCUGGGAGGAGUAAUGUCCUGGUAUCGUGCUAAGGUUUUUGCAUUUAAUUCAAGGUGGUAUAAUAUUAAUUACAAGUAGAUUGUGAUAAGGUAAGGAUGCAUAUUCUAAUCCCAAGAGUAACCACUAAAACACAGUACCAGGAAGAAUGGCCAAAAACCCAACAGAGAGCAUGAAAAUACUAAAAUAAAAUUUAACUCAAAAGAAGGCAGGAAAGAAUGAACAAAAUAACAAAAUCAGAUGGUAUAAAUACAAAAUAAAUAGAGAAAUAGUAGGCUUAAACCCAACCAUAUAAUUAAUUAUGAUAAAUGUGAAUGAAUCAAAUAUUCCUAUUAAAAGGCAGAGAUUAUCAGAUUGGAUAAUGUGCUGUCAGCAAGAGAUUCCUUUUUUAUAGAGAUCAUAACCUGCUACUAGAAGAAUAGGGAAAAAACCCAGGUAGAACUAAAAGAGCUGGUGUGGCUAUUUUAACAUCAGACAAAAUAGACUUCAAGAAAAGGAGUAUUACCAGUGAUAAAGAGAAACAUUGUAUAAUGAAAAAAGGGUCACUUCAUUACACAGGCAUGACACCAAUGUGUAUAUGUAACCAAUAAUGGCUUCAAAAUAUAUAAAAUAAAGCCUGUCAGAACUGGAGAGAGAGGUAGACUUAUCAUUAGAUAUUUUACCAUCUCUCUCUUAGUAAUUGAUAGAAUGAGUAGGAAAAAAAUCAGUGAGAAUACGGAAGAUUUGAACACGUUGUUUACCACUCUGAGCUAAUUAAGGUUUAUAAGAUACUACAGCCACAACACAGAAAACUCGUUUCUUGUGUGCACUCCAGACUUUCACUGGGAAAGAUCACACAUUGGCCCAUAAAAUAAGUCUCAGUGAAUUUCAAAAUACAGAAAUCUUAGAAUAUAUUCUCUGACCAAAAUAAUAUAAGAUAUAUUAGAAAAUCUUUCGAACUAAAUGAUAAAAACACAACAUAGCAAAAUUAGUUGUAUUUGUCAUAUAAAGCAGUGCUUAGAAAGUUAUGGCUUUAAAUGCUUACAUAGAAAAUAGGAAAGGCUUAAAAUAAAUGACCUAAGCUUCUACCUUAAGAAGGAAGAACAAGAAGCACAAAUUAAACCCAAAGUUAGCUGAAGGAAGACAAUAAUAAAGAGCAGUAAUAGAUGAAAUAAAAGAGAAAAAUAAUAGAAGAAAUCAGCAAUGGCAACGGUUCGUUCUUUAAAACGGUUCCAAAAAUUUGAUAAACACUUAGCAAGACUGAUCAAGAAAGAAUGAGAGAAAAGACAUAUUAUUAAUAUCAGGAGAGAGAGCAUAUCACUACACAUUCCAGAGAUAUUUUAAAUAUCUUUAUAUUAAUAUAUUCUGCACCAUAGAUGAAAUGAAAAAAUUUAUUGAAAAAAAAAUAACUUACCAAAACUGACACAAGAAUAGAAAAUUUUAAUAACCCUAUAGCUAAUAAAUAGAUUGAAUUUGUAAUUAAAAAUCCUCUUGUGAAGUAAACUCCAGGCUAUAAAUUCUAUCAAACUGUUAAGGAAGGUCUAACACCAAUCUUAUACAAAAUCUUGAAGAAAAUAGAGAAGGAAAAAAAUCUUUUCAAUUCAUUUUAUGAAGACAGCCUAUGUCUGAUAACCCAUAAAGACUUUUCAUCAAAGUACCAACCAAUAUCCCUCAUGAACAUAGAUUAAAAAAUUCUUAUGCAAAAUAGGAGCCACUGAAAUCUAGCAUUAGAUAAAAAAGAUAAUAAAUCAUGAACACUUGGUAUGAAUCUUGGGAAUACAAAGUUGGUUUAACAUUUGAAAAUCCAUCAACAUAUUUAACAGAAAAAUAACUGAAGAAAAAAAUUAACAGAGGCAGAACAAGCAUUUUUGGGGGACAAAAUUCAGUACCCAUUUAUGAUAAAAGCUUUUAGCAAACUGGGAAUAAAAGGGAACUUCCUCAAUCUGAUAAAGUUUCCAUGGAUAACAAAGCUCUGCAGAAAACAUCACACUUGAUGGUGAAAGACUGAAUGCUUCCCCCCUGAGAUCACACAGAAUGACGCCUUCUCU